rnacentral:rRNA from 1 species
UACGAAGGGGGCUAGCGUUACUCGGAUUGACUGGGCGUAAAGGGCGCGUAGGCGGUUUGUACAGUCAGACGUGAAAUUCCUGGGCUCAACCUGGGGGCUGCGUUUGAUACGUGCAGACUUGAGUUCGGAAGAGGGUCGUGGAAUUCCCAGUGUAGAGGUGAAAUUCGUAGAUAUUGGGAAGAACACCGGUGGCGAAGGCGGCGACCUGGUCCGAUACUGACGCUGAGGCGCGAAAGCUAGGGGAGCGAACGGG